GAAGCGGCAACAGCUCAAAUUUGAAAUCUGGCGCAAGCCCGAGUUGUAAUUUGUAGAGGAUGCUUCUGGGCAGCGGCCGUUCUAAGUUCCUUGGAACAGGACGUCAUAGAGGGUGAGAAUCCCGUAUGUGACCGGCGCGCACCCUCCACGUAGCUCCUUCGACGAGUCGAGUUGUUUGGGAAUGCAGCUCUAAAUGGGAGGUAAAUUUCUUCUAAAGCUAAAUACCGGCCAGAGACCGAUAGCGCACAAGUAGAGUGAUCGAAAGAUGAAAAGCACUUUGGAAAGAGAGUUAAAAAGCACGUGAAAUUGUUGAAAGGGAAGCGCUCGCAACCAGACUCCGCGGCGGUGUUCCGCCGGUCUUCUGACCGGUCCACUCGCCGCCGUGGGGCCAUCAUCGUCUGGGGCCGUCGGAUAAGACCGUAGGAAUGUGGCUCCCUCGGGAGUGUUAUAGCCUGCGGUGAUGCGACGUGCCCCGGGCGAGGUCCGCGCUUCGGCAAGGAUGAUGGCGUAAUGGUUGCCAGCGGCCCGUCUUGAAACACGGACCAAGGAGUCUAACAUCUAUGCGAGUGUUCGGGUGUCAAACCCCUACGCGUAAUGAAAGUGAACGGAGGUGGGAGCUUCGGCGCACCAUCGACCGAUCCUGAUGUCCUCGGAUGGAUUUGAGUAAGAGCAUAGCUGUUGGGACCCGAAAGAUGGUGAACUAUGCCUGAAUAGGGUGAAGCCAGAGGAAACUCUGGUGGAGGCUCGCAGCGGUUCUGACGUGCAAAUCGAUCGUCAAAUUUGGGUAUAGGGGCGAAAGACUAA
rnacentral:rRNA from 1 species